CAGCCGUAAACUAUUCUCGCUAGGUGUCAGGCAUGGCGCGACCGUGUCUGGUGCCGCAGGGAAGCCGUGAAGCGAGCCACCUGGGAAGUACGGCCGCAAGGCUGAAACUUAAAGGAAUUGGCGGGGGAGCACAACAACGGGUGGAGCCUGCGGUUUAAUUGGACUCAACGCCGGACAACUCACCGGGGGACGACAGCAAUAUGUAGGCCAGGCUGAAGACCUUGCCUGAAUCGCUGAGAGGAGGUGCAUGGCGUAGACGUCU
rnacentral:rRNA from 1 species